rnacentral:rRNA from 1 species
GACGAACGCUGGCGGCGUGCCUAAUACAUGCAAGUAGAACGCUGAAGGAGGAGCUUGCUUCUCUGGAUGAGUUGCGAACGGGUGAGUAACGCGUAGGUAACCUGCCUGGUAGCGGGGGAUAACUAUUGGAAACGAUAGCUAAUACCGCAUAAUAGUAGAUGUUGCAUGACAUUUGCUUAAAAGGUGCAAUUGCCUCACUACCAGAUGGACCUGCGUUGUAUUAGCUAGUUGGUGAGGUAACGGCUCACCAAGGCGACGAUACAUAGCCGACCUGAGAGGGGGAUCGGCCACACUGGGACUGAGACCCGGCCCAGACUCCUACGGGAGGCAGCAGUAGGGAAUCUUCGGCAAGGGACGGAAGUCUGAACGAGCAACGCCGCGGGAGGGAAGAAGGUUCUCGGAUCGUAAAGCUCUGUUGUAAGAGAAGAACGAGUGUGAGAGUGGAAAGUUCACACUGUGACGGUAUCUUACCAGAAAGGGACGGCUAACUACGUG